rnacentral:rRNA from 1 species
CCUACGGGAGGCAGCAGUGGGGAAUAUUGGACAAUGGGCGAAAGCCUGAUCCAGCCAUGCCGCGUGUGUGAAGAAGGCCUUCGGGUUGUAAAGCACUUUCAGUGGGGAAGAAAGCCUUGGGGCUAAUACCCUCGAGGAAGGACAUCACCCACAGAAGAAGCACCGGCUAACUCCGUGCCAGCAGCCGCGGUAAUACGGAGGGUGCGAGCGUUAAUCGGAAUUACUGGGCGUUAAGCGCGCGUAGGCGGUCUGAUAAGCCGGUUGUGAAAGCCCCGGGCUCAACCUGGGAACGGCAUCCGGAACUGUCAGGCUAGAGUGCAGGAGAGGAAGGUAGAAUUCCCGGUGUAGCGGUGAAAUGCGUAGAGAUCGGGAGGAAUACCAGUGGCGAAGGCGGCCUUCUGGACUGACACUGACGCUGAGGUGCGAAAGCGUGGGUAGCAAACAGGAUUAGAUACCCCAGUAGUC